UUUGGAAACAUAAUUUAAAGGAAGAAAUGUUAAAGAUAAUGAAAGUUUUAGAAAAAUACAACUACAUUUCAAUGGAUACUGAAUUUCCCGGCACAGUGGCCAGGCCUUACAACUUUCCUAGAGCUUCUUUAGAAUAUACAUAUCAACUAUUGCGGUGUAACGUCGAUCUUUUAAAAAUUAUUCAGCUGGGCCUCACUUUUAGUGAUGAAGAUGGAAACGUACCAGAAGGGACGUGUACGUGGCAAUUUAAUUUUGAAUUUACUUUAGGAGGAGACAUGUACGCUCCUGACUCUAUAGACCUUCUAAAAAGAUCAGGAAUUAAUUUUGAAAAACACUCUGUUGAUGGAAUUGAUGUCCAAGCUUUUGGCGAACUACUUUUCCAAUCUGGAAGUCUGCUUAACCCAGAAGUAAAGUGGAUUUCAUUUCAAGGGCAAG